GACGAACGCUGGCGGCAUGCUUAACACAUGCAAGUCGAACGGAAAGGCCCUGCUUUUGCGGGGUGCUCGAGUGGCGAACGGGUGAGUAACAUGUGAGUAACCUGCCCUUGACUUUGGGAUAACUUCAGGAAACUGGGGCUAAUACCGGAUAGGUGCUCCUGCUGCAUGGUGGGGGUUGGAAAUUUUCGGCGGUUUGGGAUGGACUCGCGGCUUAUCAGCUUGUUGGUGGGGUAGUGGCUUACCAAGGCUUUGACGGGUAGCCGGCCUGAGAGGGUGACCGGCCACGUUGGGACUGAGAUACGGCACAGACUCCUACGGGAGGCAGCAGUGGGGAAUAUUGCACAAUGGGCGGAAGCCUGAUGCGGCAACGCCGGGUGCGGGAUGACGGCCUUCGGGUUGUAAACCGCUUUCGCCUGUGACGAAGCGUGAGUGACGGUAACGGGAGAAGAAGCACCGGCUAACUACGUG
rnacentral:rRNA from 1 species